rnacentral:lncRNA from 1 species
CUCUCCCUCACCUGCACUGUCUCUGGAUUCCCCAUCAUAACCAGUGUGUCCUGCUAGAAUUGUAUCUGCUUGCCCCUAGAAGAUGGACAGGAGUGGAUCAGGUGCAUGGGUUGUGAAGGGAGCACAAAUUACAACCCACUGCUCAAGAGUCCAUAUCCAGAUCCAAGAAACAGUUCUUACAGCUGAGCUCUGUGCCCAGUGAACACACAACUACGCAUUUUUAAGCAAAAGACGCAAUGAAG